rnacentral:ncRNA from 1 species
AUGAGCGCCUGUCCUUCCCAUCCCUGCAACUCCGCGCACGUCGCCGCGCCAAUCAUGGUGCGGUUGGCCUGGACCCGGACUAUGCGGAACGAGUAUGUGGCGGGCGCUUUGAGAUAGAAGUCAGCCGCUGGUUCCGGUAAUCGGGACGGCGGCUUUUUUG